rnacentral:lncRNA from 7 species
AUCUAUGAGUCAAGCUGUUGACUUUUGUGAAGUUACUGUAUCUAAGAAAAUUUCUGAUUUUUAAAGCCCUUAGUUCUGUUUUUCCUCUUAGAAAUCCAAAAAUGCUCCCAAAUUGUUUUCCCACUUUGCUCGGGAUAGGAGACUAAAAGUUCUUGAGAUUUUUGAGUGCUAUUCAGACGCAACAAAGUGAUUCUCCUUAAUUACGGAGUGUGCAUACUUUGCUGUCCUGAGGUGAAGAAGUCCAGUUCACUUAACUUUUUAGGGUGGACACACUAAUCUAUGAAACAACGGAAACUUCAGUGUUUAAAAUGUCUGCUUUGUUGGCUGUUAAAUGGAAAGAUACACGGAAAGACUGGAAUCUAUGAAGACAAAGCAGCGUUUGUGGGUUACUGGAAAUGAGUAAAGAAAAAAAGAGAUGCUUUGGAAAAAAAAAAAAAAAAGCCAUUAGCAGGUAAAGCAAGUGUGUGAAGUUAUUCGUGGAAAAAUUUAUUAUGAUUGUAAAACAAAACAAAAAAUGUAAUUUUAAACAUCCAAGUGGAUGAUGAGUCAUUUCUGAAGGGCAUUUUGUUUGAGUCUGUUUUGAAUAAUUUUAAGGGCUGAAAAUCACCUCCUUUAAAAAUUAUGGAUGGAUUUAUUGUGAAUUGGGUAAGGCUUAUUUUUAUUUCGGUGACGGAAGUAGGGAAAAAAAAGAUUAACCUGAAAAAUACAUUUUAAAUCUUUUUAUUACUAUUUUUAAUGUAAUAUGGAAUGGCAAUCUUUUCUAUUAAAAAUGAGCUAUGUUUGUAGCUUUAGUUCAACUUAAAAAGUUGAAUUGUUUUGUUGCUACCAUGUUCCCAAAAACAGCUGGGGAAACUAGAUGCCAUCCUUUCAUCUGUCACAGAUUUGCUGGGAAAUGCUAAGCCAGACACGUAUGCAGUGUUUUUUCCCUGCCUUGAACACCUGGUAGUUGUGUGCCAGGACUGCUGAACUCUUGCAAGCACAGUUGAUAUUCAUGUGUUUAUAACCCAUGUAUAUAUGUGUAUAGAUAUAAAAUGGCAACAUAUACU